rnacentral:rRNA from 1 species
CAGCCGCCACGGUAAUACGAAGGGUGCAAGCGUUAAUCGGAAUUACUGGGCGUAAAGCGUGCGUAGGCGGUUUGUUAAGUCUGCUGUGAAAUCCCCGGGCUCAACCUGGGAAUGGCAGUGGAUACUGGCUCGCUAGAGUGUGUCAGAGGAUGGUGGAAUUCCCGGUGUAGCGGUGAAAUGCGUAGAGAUCGGGAGGAACAUCAGUGGCGAAGGCGGCCAUCUGGGACAACACUGACGCUGAGGCACGAAAGCGUGGGGAGCAAACAGGAUUAGAUACCCCCGUAGUCCCUGUCUCUUAUAC